rnacentral:rRNA from 1 species
GACGAACGCUGGCGGCGUGCCUAAUACAUGCAAGUAGGACGCAGUUGCGAACGGGUGAGUAACGCGUAGGUAACUGCCUCUUAGAGGGGGAUAACUAUUGGAAACGAUAGCUAAUACCGCAUACUAGUAGAUGGACCUGCGUUGUAUUAGCUAGUAGGUAGGGUAAUGGCCUACCUAGGCGACGAUACAUAGCCGACCUGGGAGGGUGGUCUGCCAAACUGGGACUGGGACACGGCCCAGACUCCUACGGGGUGCAGCAGUAGGGGAUCUUCGGCAAUGGGGGGAACCCUGACCGAGCAAAGCCGCGUGAGUGAAGAAAGUUUUCGGGUCGUAAAGCUCUGUUGUGAAGGAAGCGGUACUUAACCAGAAAGGGACGGCUAACUACGUGCCAGCAGCCGCGGUAAUAC